rnacentral:rRNA from 1 species
UACGUAGGGUGCGAGCGUUAAUCGGAAUUACUGGGCGUAAAGCGUGCGCAGGCGGUUUUGUAAGCCAGAUGUGAAAGCCCCGGGCUUAACCUGGGAAUGGCAUUUGGGACUGCAAGGCUUGAGUGCGGCAGAGGAGACUGGAAUUCCCGGUGUAGCAGUGAAAUGCGUAGAUAUCGAGAGGAACACCUGCGGCGAAGGCGGGUUGCUGGGCUGACACUGACGCUGAGGCGCGAAAGCCAGGGGAGCGAACGGG